UACGUAGGGUGCAAGCGUUAAUCGGAAUUACUGGGCGUAAAGCGUGCGCAGGCGGUUGUGCAAGACAGAUGUGAAAUCCCCGGGCUUAACCUGGGAAUUGCAUUUGUGACUGCACGGCUAGAGUGUGUCAGAGGGGGGUAGAAUUCCACGUGUAGCAGUGAAAUGCGUAGAUAUGUGGAGGAAUACCGAUGGCGAAGGCAGCCCCCUGGGAUUACACUGACGCUCAUGCACGAAAGCGUGGGGAGCAAACAGG
rnacentral:rRNA from 1 species